UCGGCGGGCGCGAGACGCGAGACAAGGUACAACUCGUAAACACCAAAUUCUCGCGUGUACCGAGUCGCGAAAUUUCGAGGACUUUUUCUAUUAACUAGCGACGAUCACGUGGUUCGAAGAUCCUUUGUCUUCAAAGCUUCUACAACGUUCCACCGAGUUUACGUGGUCGAGCAAGGCACGAGCCGAAAUCACUUUUUCUCGUACAGUCGCGGUGAGCGCGAGAUUAAGCCGAGCGAACCGUUUAAGAGUUAGAGUGCGUACCCAGUAGUAUUGUAAUACGAAGGAAGCGGUAGCCAAAACUCGGGUCGUUCGUUAAAUCGGUUUUAUAUAUUAACCUCAUAUUUAAUUAAUUUAUUUAGUUUUAUUUCCUUUCGUUUAUUUCCGCUAUUAGAGUUUCGCGUUUAAUUAAUUGCUAAUCAUCUUAAAAUCAUCUUCGCGUGUGGUGUGCUUCUCUUUUCAACAGGUUUUCCGAGCAAAAUCGAUAUAUAUUGUAAGAAGGAAGGAAGCUUAGGGUAGUUCGAAGAGUGGCUACAAUUCGAACCAUUCGAAUUAAAAAUAAGAAUAAGUAAUACAUUUAUAAUUCUGUCCACAAAGCGUUAUGAAAUCGUUAGAAUGGACAGUUGGGCGACAAAGGGAUUCAGUGAUAGGAUUUAUCGUAGACAAUUUAUCUUCGGCUUUGUCAUCUAAACCACAAGGAAUAAUUCUUGAAGGAAGUGCGAGGCAUUUGGUUACAUUUGGUUACAUUUGGUACAAAACCUUGCACGGUUGUAAUUUGCAUUAUAAAACGUGCACGAGCAGGCCAGAGACGUUCGAAAUUCGUAUCUGGAUGAAAAUUACGAAUAACGACCGGAGGAUAAAGAAAUUAUGAUUGAUACGAUGGACAGGCUGUUAGAUGCGAAGAGUUCGAUAGUUAACUCGAUUUUCUGGAGAACCAUGCCCUCUUCUAGAGUCAAUACGUUUCUCAGGAAGAGUCGUUAUUCCUCUCUAAAAUAUGUAUCACUAGGAACCGCAUUUAGUCGACGAUAAGGAAUAAAUAAAUUGUUACUGUCAUUGGUAUCGGCUCGUUUAAUUUUAUUCAUUCUCGUCGCGAAUAUGUAAACGACAACGUUAUUUUUUUACGUACGCUCGCGUGUCGUAUUUCUGCGAUGUAUUACGAGAUGCACGAUGCGUGUUACGUGGCAUGUAUCAUGAAAAGAAAGCGUACAAAGAUAAUGCACUGUACUCGGAAACUGAAAGUCAGCGUUGACUAAUAAAAAAUUGUCCGUCAUAUCCCAAGAAUAUCCAACAUUAUCGAUACGCUCGAAAUAUAUUUCGAUGCAUUGAAAAUACAAAAUAAAAAUAUAAUUCAUCCGUAAUUGAACAAAAACAAAUGUAUCUUUCAUAUGACAGUGCUUACUAAUAAAGAUUUGUUCAUAAUUCGCGAGGAAGAUUCAAAAAUACUUUUCGAGGCAGUGAUGAUAAACAAUAAAAAUAUAAUUUGUCGACAAUUGAACAAAAACAAAUGUAUCUUUCAUAUGACAGUGCUUACUAAUAAAGAUUUUUUCAUAAUUCGCGAAGAAGACGUAGAAAUAUUCAUCGAGGAAUUGAAACUUAAAAAUCAAAAUAUAAUUUGUCGACAAUUGAGCAAAAACAAAUGCAUCUUUCAUAUGACAGUGCUUACUAACAAAAAAUUAUAUUUCAUUCGCGAAGAAGAUCCAGAAAUAUUUUUCGAAGCGUCGAAAAUAUAAAAUAAAAAUAUAAUUCGUUCACAAUCGAAGAAAAACAAACUUCUCGUAAUAUACAUGCAACCUUUACGUAACGCAUGGAAAAUUUGCUUGUCCAAUGAAUAUUUUAUAAAUCCCCUGGAACUAUAGUAGCAAGCGAAAUGACUGCAAAUCUGAUUUAUUCGGGACGUUGGUUCGAAUAAUGCACGAGUCCGAUUUCAACGCACGUUUCAGUCCACAUUUUCGAAGAACGUCAUUCUCAUUUCCACCUCUCCGACAACGAAGCCAGCGUUGAAUUCGUUGCUUCGACUCCUCGAGCGGAUCGACUGCUGUUCUCUUUUCACGGAGACGCGCAGUAGGUCACGUACGGUUAAAAAGGAUAAUUCAUCGUGGUCGUUCGCCGCGUGGACGUGGUUCCUGGGCGCUUUCGGCACGGUCCUGCUUUGACGUCAUCGAAUGACGUCAAUUCCAGGCCCCGCCGCGUCGCCCCUCGGUUCUACCCACGCGUCGCGCUUUAUCGCUCCAACGCAAGAAGACAGCAGCCGUCAACCUCCGUCACCUCAACCCUCGAAGACUCCUACGACGCCCGAUACGGUUAAACGAGCGAGAUUUACGAAAUGCCACCGCUAUGUUCUCCGACCAGCCAUCUCCAAAUAGAACUGGAGAAUCAACCUGAAAUAACAGGGGGUGUGGGGGGGGGGGGGACGCGUGGACGUUUUCCGCGGGAGACGGUAAGGAUAAUAAUGCCACGGCUGGGAGCCGCGUACGUCGCGGGCCACACACUGGGAAACCUCUUUUGGGGGGAAUUGGUCACGAUCAGCCGUAAUUUAUUCGAAGAAUGGGCGACGAAUGAAAUCGCCCAAUUGAAAUUUAUUCGCGACGAUUAUUCAUUUUAGAGAAGACGUUUGGAUUCGUUGGGCUUUCUUUUUUAUUUAGAGGAGAAUGGUUGUUCAUCCGUUAUUCGUUAUUCGUUAUUCUUCAUACUUCACUCCUCAUUCCUUAUUCCAAAUCGACACUUUUAAACAGUGAUGGGCAAAACCCUAGGCUUCGAAUAAAUCUGAAGUUUGCCGAUAUGUUUGUCUCGUUUCUUCUUUUGAAUAUUUUCGAAAGAAGAAACGAGACAAACAUAUCAGCAAACUUCAGAUUUAUUCGAAAUCUAGGGUUUCGCCCAUCUCUGCUUUCAAAUACUCUUUACAGUCCUAUAGAAUAAACAUACACAUGGUUAUAGAUCGACCAGGCAUGGGUGAUGUUUUAUUCGAAUAAAACUAAUCAAUUACAAUUUAUUCGUGUCGUUUAUUCAAUUUAGAUAUUUGUAUUUAUUUGGUGUAACACUUUUAAAGAUGCUAUAAAGCCAUACAGAAUAAAUAAUGGUACGAUCAUACAUCAUUACAGACAUAGACAACGUUGCAUUUGAAUAAUGUCUAUGAAUGAAACCAAUCAAUUUCAAUUUAUUCGUGUUGAUUGUGCGCUCGAAACAUUAGCAUUUGUUUGUUGCGAAAUGAACCAUUCCAUAGAGCUCGUUUUCAUUUUCAAUUUCAUCCAUAGAGAAACCAUUAUCUAUUGUUUAUUCGUUAUUCGAAAUGGACCACUUUAAUAACACCACACAGUUAUAUAAAAUAAACACAGAUAUAACUCGUCCACGUUAUACUGAUAAGUAAAGAAUAAACCCCUGAAGUCUAGAUUCUUAUUUCGUAUACAAAUGUCAUAAAUGUGGGAAGUAUGAUAUAGUAGACUAAGUAUAGCACGGCUGUUUUAAUCGAACGAUGAUUUAGACGUCCACUUGCAUCGCCCCAUUGCAUGCAUGAACAGCCGUCUGACUACAUACGGUCUGAGUAGUUACGUCCAUUCAUCGACAGACGAGUCUCAGACAGCCGCGCCAGUACUGUGAUUCCCUAAUUAUUUUUGCCACAGUGUUAACAACUGCCACUCUUUGUAUACCUAUUUAAAUCGUCUAGCACAGUGUAUAUAAUUAAAUACUUUUGUUGAAAUAAAUCCAGAUAUCACGAAUUAAAUAAAACUAUUUGCAUUUUGUAAUCGUUAGACCGAUCAGCGAUUUACAGCGAUAUAAUCUUGCUCGGCGUAGACAGAAAUUAUUUCCUGCUCGAAUAAUUCUUUCAGCAUAACGCGCGUUUGUUGUUAUAGUGACUUCGACUGUAGUUAAAAUCUCUAUUUUACGAAUUUCGUUUCUUUCUUUAGAACGUCGGAUAUUUACUGUACCCUAAUUUACGAAAACCGUGAAAUCCGUGGAAAGAUGUUGUCUUGUUCCACGAAAAUAAAUCUUCAUACACUCAUUAACCUUGCGUUGGGCCUCCUAUUCUUUAAAGUUGUUAUUCUAAGCUGUUGCACACACUCUGCCAUAAUUUAUCCCGGAGGGAAAAUAAAAAGACGUGCUGACGGGAUGCUGGAACACGAAGCAACGACUAUUAAUCGUGAUCGAAGAUCAACAUUUCACGAAUAUUUCGCGUCCACUCGGAGAGUUUAUUAUCUAUUUUUAUGUUCUCUGAAAAUGAUACAAAGAAAUCGACGUUACAAAAUUUCAAUUGAAUUUAUUCGAUUCUAUAGUUAAAUUUGUAUUUAUUUACAGUUCGCUGUAUUUACAGUAUGAAAAAUCUGUAAUUAUAGAAACCAUAUCGAAUCCUUUAGGUUUCUUUCCGGAGACGCCUUGAAAAUGGAUAAUUCGAAAGUAUGCGAAUUGUUGCAGUCGAACGGGGAUGUCUCGGAGAGUUCGGAUUGUUCAAGCAGUUUCUUGCGAAAUGUCCAGGAUAGUACGAAGUCUCGAGCAUCUCGCGAUUCAAAUUCGAUAUUCCAAAUAUUCGCACACGCUCGGUUCUCACGCCUACGCCCGUAUGUAACAGUUUCUAUCUCGUCGGAGAGCACAAGGUGUCUUGAGAUUUAUUUCUGUCUCGCUUUAUCCAAAUUUACGUCACAACAAUGUCUCAAGGAUAUUUUAGAUAAAACCAACGGUGAGCGGCUUCUAAUUUACGAAAUUAAAAAUACUUUUCGCCAGGAACACAGACAUUUGACACAAGAACACUUGUCACUAAUUAUUAGGCGUGGAGAUCAAUUAUGUGCCUUGGACAUUUUAAGUGAAAAUAUUUAAUCGUCAUUUUGUUAUGUUAAAGCACCAACCUUGUGGACAUUUCCUCAACUUGAUGGACAUUUCAGUGGAUCUACAUGUAUGCAUAAUUCUUGUUCUUCUAAUAGAUCGCAAGUAUACUUGACAAUUAUUAGGUGUAGAAAUUAAUUAUGUGGCUUACAUUGUUAAGUAAAAAUAUUUAGUCAUUUUGUUAGGGUUAAGCACAAACCUUUUAGGUUCUCAACCUGAUGGACAUUUCAAUAUUUCUAAAUAUAUUAGCCAAAAUUAAAUUUUGUCGGACUUCCCUUCCAAAUUAAUCGAUGAGUUUGUUUUCGAAGGUACAGAAUUAAUUUCCGCAUCUAAUAUUAUACAAUUUUGGAGUGCAACGCAAAUGAUUCGACUCUCCCCCGGGACCACGAAAUUAAAAUAUUCGAAAUCGAUUAUUAUCGGCUAAAUAUGACCAGGAAACGAUUCUAUUAUUUUCCCUGUCGUCUACGUUUACUGAUCAAAAAUGUAAGCAUCGUAAAUAUUCCAUCCACACACGGCUAUCAUUGAAUUGGCAAACUUCUUCGACAGAAGCGGAUUACCCGAGACCUUUAACGGCUUUUAAACGUAUAUAACGUCAGAGUAUCGUUACGCGCGUCAGAACAGGUAGUUGCAAUGACGCGCAUGAGACGAGAAGAGACGAGAUUUCUACGAUCUCGAUCUUGAUCUCGAAAAAUCUCGACACAUCCAUAUCGAUCUUGAAUUUUCAACAAUUUCGAACAUAUGAUCUCGAUCUCGAUCUCGAUCUUGAUCUCGACGAGAUUUUGACAAGAUUGGCAAUACAAGAUUUUCAAAGCCUCUGUCUGACUCUGUUAAUCAAUUAUUUGAAUUAAGAGGGAUGAAGGUAAAUGGAAAUCACUUCAUGACGCGAUCGUGUAACUGGACUUACAGAGUCAGUCCCGUUUCCUCCUGGUGGAUAGUUGGAAUAACUGAAAAUUAAUUUCUGACAAUAGUUACAUUAAUUAUUAACAAUAUUUGAUGAAGCAAUGACCGAGAAUAUGACUUUGCUGUAAUAUUACACCGCCCGGACAGUGAACCUUCGUAUGUGGACGACCUAAUAGUUUUCGAAAUAUUGGACCUCAUAAGUUUUGUCCCGCUAGAUCUCUGAAAUAUCACACUUGUUAUAAUAUUAACAAAAUUGUAUGUGGCAUCGUUUGUUAGCGCAGCAGUCACGGCGUCAUAUGUGCUGGCGAUCGGCAAUAUGAAAUAAUCUUGAUCUCGGCCAAAUCUCGAUAUGCUGAAUCUCGAUCUCGAUUUCGAAUGUUACAAGUAAUCUCGAUUUUGAAUUGCAUCUCGAAAUCGAGACGAGAUCGAGACGAGAUCGAGAUUGAUCUCGUCUCGUGCGCAUCACUAUGUAAUUGUAUCGCGCAAUCGUCAGAAACGGACGAAAAGAUUACGCGAAUGAUCGAUCGCGAUAACGAUAAUGACGUAGACGCGAGCGAUUUCAUACCUUGGAC